UACGAAGGGGGCGAGCGUUAUUCGGAUUUACUGGGCGUAAAGGGCUCGUAGGUGGCCAACUAAGUCGGACGUGAAAUCCCUCAGCUUAACUGGGGAACUGCGUCCGAUACUGGAUGGCUUGAGUUUGGGAGAGGGUGAGUCGGAAUCGCGAGGUGUAGAGGUGAAAAUUCGUAUGAUAUUCGCUGAAGGAAACACCCGAGGUGGCAGGAACGG
rnacentral:rRNA from 1 species